rnacentral:rRNA from 1 species
AUUGAACGCUGGCGGCAUGCUUUACACAUGCAAGUCGAACGGUAACAGGCCGCAAGGUGCUGACGAGUGGCGAACGGGUGAGUAAUGCAUCGGAACGUGCCCAGUCGUGGGGGAUAACUACUCGAAAGAGUAGCUAAUACCGCAUACGAUCUAUGGAUGAAAGCGGGGGACCGUAAGGCCUCGCGCGAUUGGAGCGGCCGAUGUCAGACUAGGUAGUUGGUGGGGUAAAGGCUCACCAAGCCAACGAUCUGUAGCUGGUCUGAGAGGACGACCAGCCACACUGGGACUGAGACACGGCCCAGACUCCUACGGUAGGCAGCAGUGGGGAAUUUUGGACAAUGGGCGCAAGCCUGAUCCAGCAAUGCCGCGUGCAGGAAGAAGGCCUUCGGGUUGUAAAAUGCUUUUGUACGGAACGAAACGGCUCUGGUUAAUACCCGGGGCUAAUGACGGUACCGUAAGAAUAAGCACCGGCUAACUACGUG